UACAGAAAUCUUUUGGGGUUAAAGGUGAU
rnacentral:piRNA from 1 species